rnacentral:rRNA from 1 species
ACAGGGAUUGCCUUAGUAACGGCGAGUGAAGCGGCAACAGCUCAAAUUUGAAAUCUGGCCCCUAGGGUCCGAGUUGUAAUUUGUAGAGGAUGUUUUUGGCACGGUGCCUUCCGAGUUCCCUGGAACGGGACGCCACAGAGGGUGAGAGCCCCGUAUGGUUGGACACUAAGCCUCUGUAAAGCUCCUUCAACGAGUCGAGUAGUUUGGGAAUGCUGCUCUAAAUGGGAGGUAAAUCUCUUCUAAAGCUAAAUACUGGCCAGAGACCGAUAGCGCACAAGUAGAGUGAUCGAAAGAUGAAAAGCACCUUGAAAAGGGGGUUAAACAGUACGUGAAAUUGUUGAAAGGGAAGCACUUGUCACCAGACGUGCGCCGGGCGGUUCAUCAGAGGCUUUGCCCCUGUGUAUGCCGUCCGGUUCAGGCUAGCAUCGGUUUUCGCUGGGGGAGAAGAACAGUUGGAACGUGGCUCGCCUUCGGGGGAGUGUUAUAGCCUUCUGUACGAUGCCCUGGCGGGGACUGAGGUCCGCGCAUUUUGCAAGGAUGCUGGCGUAAUGGUUACCAGUGACCCGUCUUGAAACACGGACCAAGGAGUCGUCCAUUAAAGCGAGCGUCUGGGUGUGAAAACCCGUUACGCGUAAUGAAAGUGAAACUAGGUGAGAGCUUCGGCGCAUCAUCGACCGAUCCUGAUGUUCUCGGAUGGAUUUGAGUAAGAGUUUUAACGGACGGACCCGAAAGACAGUGAACUAUGCUUGUAUAGGGUGAAGCCAGAGGAAACUCUGGUGGAGGCUCGCAGCGGUUCUGACGUGCAAAUCGAUCGUCAAAUAUGAGCAUGGGGGCGAAAGA